CAUUUGCUAUUUGGACAUCCACUAUUAAUAUUUAUAACACUCCCCCUUGGAUGUCCAUUGAAGAUAUGCCUCAUUAAAACCUUACUAGAGAAAAACCUAAUAGGAGAAAAAUUCUAGUGAAGGAAAAGAGUACAAUAUCCCUUUUGUGUAUGAUAAUCUGCCUCGUUAAAAACCUUACCAGGAAAACCCAAUGGGACAAAACCAUGGUUAAGGCAAAAAGAGUGCAGAACACAUUUAUGUCUCCC
rnacentral:lncRNA from 1 species